GACGAACGCUGGCGGCGUGCCUAAUACAUGCAAGUUGAGCGAUGAAGCUUGGUGCUUGCACCAAUUUGAAGAGCAGCGAACGGGUGAGUAACGCGUGGGGAAUCUGCCUUUGAGCGGGGGACAACAUUUGGAAACGAAUGCUAAUACCGCAUAAUAACUUUAAACAUAAGUUUUAAGUUUGAAAGAUGCAAUUGCAUCACUCAAAGAUGAUCCCGCGUUGUAUUAGCUAGUUGGUGAGGUAAAGGCUCACCAAGGCGAUGAUGCAUAGCCGACCUGAGAGGGUGAUCGGCCACAUUGGGACUGAGACACGGCCCAAACUCCUACGGGAGGCAGCAGUAGGGAAUCUUCGGCAAUGGACGAAAGUCUGACCGAGCAACGCCGCGUGAGUGAAGAAGGUUUUCGGAUCGUAAAACUCUGUUGGUAGAGAAGAACGUUGGUGAGAGUGGAAAGCUCAUCAAGUGACGGUAACUACACAGAAAGGGACGGCUAACUACGUG
rnacentral:rRNA from 1 species